rnacentral:rRNA from 1 species
UACGGGGGGGGCAAGCGUUGUUCGGAAUUACUGGGCGUAAAGGGCGUGUAGGCGGUCAAGUAAGUGGAAUGUGAAAGCCCCCGGCUUACCCGGGGAUCUGCAUCCCAAACUGCUUGGCUUGAGUACGGGAGAGGAUAGGGGAAUUCCUGGUGUAGCGGUGAAAUGCGUAGAUAUCAGGAGGAACACCGGUGGCGAAGGCGCCUAUCUGGCCCGAUACUGACGCUGAGGCGCGAAAGCUAGGGGAGCAAACGGG